CGGGCCGUAGUCCAGCUUGGUAGGAUGCGCGGCUUGGGCCCGCGUAAGCCGCUCAGGCUGCGGAGGGACCCGGGUUCAAGUCCCGGCGGCCCCACCA
rnacentral:tRNA from 1 species